GAUGAACGCUAGCUACAGGCUUAACACAUGCAAGUCGAGGGGUAACGAGAGGAAAGCUUGCUUUCCUUGUCGACGACCGGCGCACGGGUGAGUAACGCGUAUCCAACCUGCCCCCAACUAGGGAAUAACCUUGCGAAAGUAAGACUAAUACCCUAUAAUUUCCUCAGAUGUCAUCUGACGAGGAAUAAAGAUUUAUCGGUUGUGGAUGGGGAUGCGUCUGAUUAGCUUGUUGGCGGGGUAACGGCCCACCAAGGCAACGAUCAGUAGGGGUUCUGAGAGGAAGGUCCCCCACAUUGGAACUGAGACACGGUCCAAACUCCUACGCGAUGGAGCAGUGAGGAAUAUUGGUCAAUGGGCGGAAGCCUGAACCAGCCAAGUAGCGUGCAGGAUGACGGCCCUAUGGGUUGUAAACUGCUUUUAUCCAGGAAUAAAGUUAGCCACGUGUGGUUAUUUGUAGGUACUGUAUGAAUAAGGACCGGCUAAUUCCGUGCCAGCCGCCGCGGUAA
rnacentral:rRNA from 1 species